rnacentral:tRNA from 1 species
AAGGAUUUAAGUUAAAUAAACUAAUAACCUUCAAAGUUAUAUUUAAAGAUUAAUUCUUUAAGCCUUA